UGGUUUCUUGUUUUCGCCGCCCUCGAUGAAGUCAGCAGAAUAAUUUGCGAUGCUGAUUGACGACGACAUUGGCAGUUUUAGUGCCUUGAGUGCCCUGCAAAAACUGCAGGUGGUUCUCUUGUGGUCUUCCUCCACCCAAAGCUAAUCUCUCUUCCAUCUUUCGAUGGUCGAUUGGGUGCAUGGAUUUUUUUCUUUUGAACCAGAGGUGGUGACGGAGGCUGGAUUUGCUCUCCAUUGCUCACAGGUUUGAUUUGGAAGCGCUGCUUUUUUCUUCCCACACAGGCAACAUCAGUCAAGGAGCACUUUUCACAAGCUGCUGAUGCACCCCCUCUCGAAAGAUAUUCUAUCCUCGAACAGGCUGGUUUGCGUGGUAAGAAUGAGGGUGCAACGUUCACAUCUUGAAUGUUUUUUGUAUGUGAAGGAAAAUUCUUUUUGAUCGGUUGAUUCAGAAGACGAUUUUACAGAGAAAAUGUUGCCAGACGAACAAUGCUCAUGAGACCGAGUCUAUGCCUUUAACUAUGGCCACAUGGAAAGAUCAAAUCGGCCAACUAAAAUAAACUUGGACUGUGAAGGUAAUGGCAUUGGAUUAAAUGCUGCACACCAUUUGUUUAAUAACAAACACACCGUUGAUUUUUGGUGAUGUUAUUCCUCAGGGAAUCCUGCAUUGGUAUUUGUUACUGUUGCUUCUGCAGAUCAUCAACAUUGUGUUCUCCCCCUCAGUCACAGAGGGUAUGACUGUGUUUUUGAAACACCCCAUGAAAGAUCAUCAUCAGCUGUUUAAGGAGCUCUACCCAUCCAAAAAGUUUUCUUAUUGUUAAAAGACUACAAGUCAACGUUUAUUGAACAGUUUCAUGCCUACAGAUUAUUUGACAAAGCAUCUAAUCAUGUAUGGAUAGUGAACAAACACAACUUGACUCAUUUUUUUACAUAGUUGCAAUAAAUGAACUUGUUUGAAACAUUUGAUUUAGUUAUUUAGCCUAUAAAAGAAUAGUAUAUUUUAUCAGAAUGAAUGUAUAUUUUUAAACUAGACAUGGCUUACCAUUGAUGAGUUAAAGAUGACAUUAAAAUGUUGUAUUUUCAAUUUAAAGAUGUUAUUGCAGUGUAUGUUUACUUAGAAAAUUUGAGUCAAUUUCAAUUGAAAAUGUAACAGAAUGACAAUGUUAACAAAGUAUAUAUACAUGUCUUAUGGUGCUGAAAUUUUUUUCAUAUUUUUACAAAAAUGUAUAUUUUCACACUAUUGUUAAGAUGCGAUUACAUUGGAGACUGCAUUGUAUUAUUCAAUUGUAUGUUAUUAAAAUAUAUUAAAAAUGUAUGUUCAAAUAAAUUCAUA